rnacentral:misc_RNA from 1 species
UGUCCUGUGUCCUGAGGCUUUCGAA